rnacentral:rRNA from 1 species
UACAGAGGGUGCGAGCGUUAAUCGGAAUUACUGGGCGUAAAGCGCACGUAGGCGGCUUGGUAUGUCGGGUGUGAAAUCCCCCGGGCUCAACCUGGGAACUGCAUCCGAAACUGCCUUGCUAGAGUAUGGGAGAGGGGAAGUGGAAUUUCCGGUGUAGCGGUGAAAUGCGUAGAUAUCGGAAGGAACAUCAGUGGCGAAGGCGACUUCCUGGACCAAUACUGACGCUCAGGUGCGAAAGCGUGGGGGAGCAAACAGGGAUUAAGA